GACGAACGCUGGCGGCGUGCUUAACACAUGCAAGUCGAACGGAAAGGCCCUACUUUUGUGGGGUGCUCGAGUGGCGAACGGGUGAGUAACACGUGAGUAACCUGCCCUUGACUUUGGGAUAACUUCAGGAAACUGGGGCUAAUACCGGAUAGGAGCUCCUGCUGCAUGGUGGGGGUUGGAAAGUUUCGGCGGUUGGGGAUGGACUCGCGGCUUAUCAGCUUGUUGGUGGGGUAGUGGCUUACCAAGGCUUUGACGGGUAGCCGGCCUGAGAGGGUGACCGGCCACAUUGGGACUGAGAUCCGGCCCAGACUCCUACGGGAGGCAGCAGUGGGGAAUAUUGCACAAUGGGCGGAAGCCUGAUGCAGCAACGCCGCGUGCGGGAUGACGGCCUUCGGGUUGUAAACCGCUUUCGCCUGUGACGAAGCGUGAGUGACGGUAAUGGGUAAAGAAGCACCGGCUAACUACGUG
rnacentral:rRNA from 1 species